GACGAACGCUGGCGGCGUGCUUAACACAUGCAAGUCGAACGGAAAGGCCCUGCUUUUGUGGGGUUCUCGAUUGGCGAACGGGUGAGUAACACGUGAGUAACCUGCCCUUGACUUUGGGAUAACUUCAGGAAACUGGGGCUAAUACCGGAUAGGAUCUCCUGCUGCAUGGUGGGGGUUGGAAAGUUUCGGCGGUUGGGGUUGGACUCGCGGCUUAUCAGCUUGUUGGUGGGGUAGUGGCUUACCAAGGCUUUGACGGGUAGCCGGCAUGAGAGGGUGAACGGGGACAAUGGGACUGAGAUACGGAGCAGACUGGAACGGGAGGCAGCAGGGGGGAAUAUUGCACAAUGGGAGGAAGCGUGAUGAAGAAACGCCGCGUGCGGGAUGACGGCCUUCGGGUUGAAAACAGCUUUAGCCUGAGACGAAGCGUGAGUGACGGUAAUGGGUAAAGAAGCACCGGCUAACUACGUG
rnacentral:rRNA from 1 species